AUUAAGCCCGGGGUUCGCAGCCGCAGCCGGGAUCGGGCACCCAGGGGCGGGCGGGCACGGUAGGGCCAUGGCAGAGGGUGAGGAUAUGCAGACCUUCACUUCCAUCAUGGACGCACUGGUCCGCAUCAGUACCAGCAUGAAGAACAUGGAGAAGGAACUGCUGUGCCCAGUGUGUCAAGAGAUGUACAAGCAGCCACUGGUGCUGCCCUGUACCCACAACGUGUGCCAGGCCUGUGCCCGAGAGGUCUUGGGCCAGCAGGGCUACAUAGGACAUGGUGGGGACCCCAGCUCCGAGCCCACCUCUCCUGCCUCCACCCCUUCCACCCGCAGCCCCCGCCUCUCCCGCAGAACUCUCCCCAAGCCAGACCGCCUGGACCGGCUGCUUAAGUCAGGCUUUGGGACAUACCCUGGGAGGAAACGAGGUGCUUUGCACCCCCAAGUGAUCAUGUUCCCGUGCCCAGCCUGCCAAGGUGAUGUGGAGCUUGGGGAGCGGGGUCUGGCAGGGCUUUUCCGGAACCUGACCCUGGAGCGUGUGGUGGAGCGGUACCGCCAGAGUGUGAGUGUGGGAGGCGCCAUCCUGUGCCAGUUGUGCAAGCCCCCACCACUAGAGGCCACCAAGGGCUGCACAGAGUGCCGCGCCACCUUCUGCAAUGAGUGCUUCAAGCUCUUCCACCCCUGGGGCACCCAGAAGGCCCAGCAUGAGCCCACCCUGCCUACCCUCUCCUUCCGACCCAAGGGCCUUAUGUGCCCAGACCACAAGGAAGAGGUGACCCACUACUGCAAGACAUGCCAACGCCUGGUAUGUCAACUCUGCCGGGUGCGGCGCACCCACAGCGGGCACAAGAUCACACCAGUGCUCAGUGCCUACCAGGCCCUCAAGGACAAGCUGACAAAGAGCCUGACAUACAUCCUGGGAAACCAGGACACGGUACAGACCCAGAUCUGUGAGCUGGAGGAGGCCGUGAGGCACACCGAGGUGAGUGGUCAGCAGGCCAAGGAGGAGGUGUCGCAGCUGGUGCGGGGGCUGGGAGCUGUGCUGGAGGAGAAGCGGGCAUCACUGCUUCAGGCCAUUGAAGAAUGCCAGCAGGAGCGGCUGGCCCGUCUCAGCGCCCAGAUCCAGGAGCACCGGAGCCUGCUGGAUGGCUCAGGUCUGGUGGGCUAUGCCCAGGAAGUACUUAAGGAAACAGACCAGCCUUGCUUUGUGCAAGCCGCCAAGCAGCUGCACAACAGGAUUGCCCGAGCCACUGAAGCCCUCCAGACAUUCCGGCCAGCUGCCAGCUCCUCCUUCCGCCAUUGCCAGCUCGACGUGGGACGUGAGAUGAAGCUGCUGACAGAGCUUAACUUCCUGCGAGGCUGUGGCCACCGCGGACUCUGCUCCGGAGCACCCCAGUGCCUGAGGCCCCCGUCAUUGACACCCAGCGCACCUUUGCCUAUGAUCAGAUCUUCCUGUGCUGGCGGCUGCCCCCCCAUUCACCACCUGCCUGGCACUAUACCGUUGAGUUCCGGCGCACGGAUGUGCCUGCUCAGCCAGGCCCCACCCGCUGGCAGCGGCGGGAGGAGGUGAGGGGCACCAGUGCCCUGCUUGAGAACCCCGACACGGGCUCUGUGUAUGUGCUGCGUGUCCGCGGCUGCAACAAGGCUGGCUACGGCGAAUACAGUGAAGAUGUGCACCUGCACACGCCCCCAGCACCUGUCCUGCACUUCUUCCUCGAUAGCCGCUGGGGCGCAAGCCGAGAGCGGCUGGCUAUCAGCAAGGACCAGCGAGCAGUACGGAGUGUUCCAGGGCUGCCCCUGCUGCUGGCUGCUGACCGGCUGCUGACCGGCUGCCACCUGAGUGUGGAUGUGGUCCUGGGCGACGUGGCUGUGACCCAGGGCCGCAGCUACUGGGCCUGCGCCGUAGACCCAGCCUCCUACUUGGUCAAGGUGGGCGUCGGGCUGGAGAGCAAGCUUCAAGAAAGUUUCCAGGGUGCCCCCGAUGUGAUCAGCCCCAGGUCAGACCCCUCUGGAAGGGAUGGGGUGUGGGGGUCCUGGUGGGAGUGAGGGGCACAGAAGGGGUGGCAAGUGGAGCACAGACUUGCUAGGGUGGGGCUGGGAGGGGAUUAGGAGGAAGUAGUAGGAGCCUGGAAGCCAGGCUGGGAGGCCUGUGUCCAGGAGACGCAUGGGCUCAGCAAAAGGGCUUUUGAGGACUGAUUUUCAGAGCAUGUCGUGUGGUCAGGGAAAGGGAUGAUAGAAGAGGGAGCCAUCUCUGCUUCCUUCCAACCAUCUGUCACUCUGGAUCAACACACCAUCUCUCCAAGCAUCUGUGUCCUUUCUUCCUAACACUCCAUUUCCAACAUACCUUCUCCAUAAAACCUUUGCUCUCCAAGACCUCCUUCACCCGUAUCUUAAAAUUCUUCCCUUAGCCGGAUGCGGUGGCUCACGCCUGUAAUCCCAGCACUUUGGGAGGCUGAGGCAGGCAAAUCACUGGAGGUCGAGAGUUCGAGACCAGCUUGACCAACAUGGAGUGACCCCAUCUCUACUAAAAAUACAAAAAAAAUAGCUGGGCGUGGUAGCGCAUGCCUGUAACCCCGGCUACUCGUGAGGCUGAGGCAGGAGAAUCACUUGAACCCGGGAGGUGGAGGUUGCGGUGAGCCAAGAUUGUGUCAUUGCACUGCAGCCUGGGCGACAAAAGCAAAACUCCUUCUCAAAAAAAAAAAAAAAA
rnacentral:sRNA from 1 species